UGUUUCAACCUGUAACUCUAUUCUGCUUUGGUCUGUUUCAGACAUUGCAUGAAGUCCUGAAGAGCACGAAUGUGUGUGAAUGGUUUUGUCCCAGCCCAGCUCUAACACCCAACUUAAAUAAUUAACAUACCGAAUCACAGCGAUAGGCUAUGAUUUGUAAUUAGGUAUGGGCUGGGCUGGGCUGGAACAAAAGCUUAUACACACUCCUGCCAUUCAGAUCUGGAGCUGUCCACCAAUUUCAGUCAUUAUUCUGUACUAUGGGUACAAUUGGGGGGGGGUUAUUGAUAUAUAACGCAUGCUCCACUCUCAAGUUGAACUUGUUGACUGAUGCCAUGACGGCAGCUGCUAAGAAGGGAGCAGCUGUGAACCAGAAGACUGCAGCCAAGGCAGCACUGGUCCACGCCUGCCCUGUCUGUCGGAUGCAGACCCGAAGACAUUCAAGCAGCACUUUGAGAGCAAGCAUUCCAAGUCUUCAAUGGUUCCAGUACUGGUUGAUAUGCAGGUCUAAGGACCUACAGUUGGGACACACGAUGACCACGAUUUGAAUGCUGCAACUGAGACGGAAUGACAUCAAGGGACACAUGCUGAGACCCCGAGAAUGACUGGACAUGGGCCUGAAAGGGCUGCAGAAGCACACCAGCACCCCAUGUUAUGUUUAUUCCAUGGCCAACCAUCUCUCUAGUUAACCCUUAUUCCACACUAUGCCUUUUAUGGUCCCUCAACUUCCGACACUUUGGAACUCUCCAUCUUAUCUCUAUAAACUCAGCCUACCUUCACCCAAUUUCCCUAUGCUGCCAGUGCUUCCUUCACUUGUUCUUCUCCUGAUUUGAUAACAUCUAGACUCAGUAACACGUUUAAAAGUGUUGUGGUGUACUGUUUUUACUACCUUUUUUUCAUAUGUAAUGCUGUCCUCCUGCGUAUUCUGGGGUUCAGACUGAAUGCAGUGGUAAAUGUGCUGCUCACAAUUGACAGCAGCAACAUGGACCUGUUAAAUCGACAAGAAGGGUGUUGAUAUAGCUGGGUUUAGGCAUGGCUUACUUGUAUUGAGUCUGUUAAGUGUGUUUCUCAUUCUGCUGGAGUUGGCGUAGGUUUUAUAUCAAAUACUAUUUAAAGCAUCCAGUUUUUCCAUUUGUAACUUGCCCACCAAAAUCACAAUAUGCUGUUUUACACUGUUGUUUGUGCUGGUCUAAUUCCUAAAAUGGAAAAGCAGAAGAAUCUGUGCUCUUGGAUAGUAAUAAUAGUUCAUAUGGUGCUCUUCAAUGUCCCAGGUAUGUGGCAUUGAUGACUAAAUAAUGUAAUGUUUACUUAAAUUCAUAGGUUUAUAUGUUAUGUAUAAAAUGCAGAUGUAUGCAUUGUUUACUAUUUUGAUUUCUUUAAAACAAUGUAAUUGUUGGAGUUCAGGUGUUUGAGGUGAUUGAUGGGUGACUAGGUGCAUUGUCAAAUAAACAUGCUUAUUCAUGAUAAUGGA